UACGUAGGGUGCAAGCGUUAAUCGGAAUUACUGGGCGUAAAGCGUGCGCAGGCGGUUAUGUAAGACAGUUGUGAAAUCCCCGGGCUCAACCUGGGAACUGCAUCUGUGACUGCAUAGCUAGAGUACGGUAGAGGGGGAUGGAAUUCCGCGUGUAGCGGUGAAAUGCGUAGAUAUGCGGAGGAACACCGAUGGCGAAGGCAAUCCCCUGGACCUGUACUGACGCUCAUGCACGAAAGCGUGGGGAGCAAACAGG
rnacentral:rRNA from 1 species